rnacentral:tRNA from 1 species
AAUUAAUGAACUUGAACAAGUAUAUGUUUUGAAAGCAUAAUAUAGAAAUAAAAUUUUCUAUUAAUUU